rnacentral:rRNA from 1 species
GUGUCAGCCGCCGCGGUAAUACGGAGGGGGCCAGCGUUGUUCGGAAUCAUUGGGCGUAAAGGGCGCGUAGGCGGCCGAUCAAGUCCGACGUGAAAUUCCUCGGCUCAACCGAGGGCCUGCGUCGGAUACUGCUCGGCUUGAGUCCCGGAGAGGGUAGUGGAAUUCCCAGUGUAGCGGUGAAAUGCGUAGAUACUGGGAGGAACACCGGUGGCGAAGGCGGCUACCUGGACGGGUACUGACGCUGAGGCGCGAAAGCUAGGGGAGCAAACAGGAUUAGAUACCCUCGUAGUCC